rnacentral:rRNA from 1 species
UACGAAGGGGGCUAGCGUUGCUCGGAAUCACUGGGCGUAAAGGGUGCGUAGGCGGUUCUUUAAGUCAGGGGUGAAAUCCUGGAGCUCAACUCCAGAACUGCCUUUGAUACUGAGGAUCUUGAGUUCGGGAGAGGUGAGUGGAACUGCGAGUGUAGAGGUGAAAUUCGUAGAUAUUGGGAAGAACACCGGUGGCGAAGGCGGCUCACUGGCUCAUUACUGACGCUCAGGCGCGAUAGCGUGGGGAGCAAACAGG